CCGGCGCACGGGUGCGUAACGCGUUAUGCAACCUACCAUCAACAGGGGGAUAACACUGAGAAAUUGGUACUAAUACCCCAUAAUAUCUCAUGCGGCAUCGCAUGGGGUUGAAAACUCCGGUGGUUGAUGAUGGGCAUGCGUUGUAUUAGCUGGUUGGUGAGGUAACGGCUCACCAAGGCGACGAUACAUAGGGGGACUGAGAGGUUAACCCCCCACAUUGGUACUGAGACACGGACCAAACUCCUACGGGAGGCAGCAG
rnacentral:rRNA from 1 species